GCCCUAUGAUGAUAGUAUCAAGGUUUGCUUCUCUACAUUUACAGUUGCCGCCUAAGAGCUUUCUCCCUGCCAGGCUUGAGAGCUAUUGCUGCUAAAUCCUUCCUUGGAUGUCUGAUGCA
rnacentral:snoRNA from 1 species